rnacentral:rRNA from 1 species
GAUGAACGCUGGCGGCGUGCCUAAUACAUGCAAGUAGAACGCUGAAGGAAGGAGCUUGCUCUUUCCGGAUGAGUUGCGAACGGGUGAGUAACGCGUAGGUAACCUGCCUGGUAGCGGGGGAUAACUAUUGGAAACGAUAGCUAAUACCGCAUAACAGUAGAUGUUGCAUGAUAUCUACUUAAAAGGUGCAAUUGCACCACUACCAGAUGGACCUGCGUUGUAUUAGCUAGUUGGUGAGGUAACGGCUCACCAAGGCGACGAUACAUAGCCGACCUGAGAGGGUGAGCGGCCACACUGGGACUGAGACACGGCCCAGACGCCUACGGGAGGCAGCAGUAGGGAAUCUUCGGCAAUGGACGGAAGUCUGACCGAGCAACGCCGCGUGAGUGAAGAAGGUUUUCGGAUCGUAAAGCUCUGUUGUAAGAGAAGAACGAGUGUGAGAGUGGAAAGUUCACACUGUGACGGUAUCUUACCAGAAAGGGACGGCUAACUACGUG